rnacentral:rRNA from 1 species
GACGAACGCUGGCGGCGUGCCUAAUACAUGCAAGUCGAGCGGACCGGAUUGGGGCUUGCCUUGAUUCGGUCAGCGGCGGACGGGUGAGUAACACGUGGGCAACCUGCCCGCAAGACCGGGAUGACUCCGGGAAACCGGAGCUAAUACCGGAUAACACCGAAGACCGCAUGGUCUUCGGUUGAAAGGCGGCCUUUGGGCUGUCACUUGCGGAUGGGCCCGCGGCGCAUUAGCUAGUUGGUGAGGUAACGGCUCACCAAGGCGACGAUGCGUAGCUGGCGUGAGAGGGUGACCGGCCACACUGGGACUGAGACACGGCCCAGACUCCUACGGGAGGCAGCAGUAGGGAAUCUUCCGCGAUGGGCGAAAGCCUGACGGAGCGACGCCGCGUGAGCGAAGAAGGCCUUCGGGUCGUAAAGCUCUGUUGUGAGGGACGGAGGAGCGCCGUUCGAAGAGGGCGGCGCGGUGACGGUACCUCACGAGAAAGCCCCGGCUAACUACGCGCCAGCCGCCGCGGUAA